GCAUUGGUGGUUCAGUGGUAGAAUUCUCACCUUCCGUUAAGGCGACUCAGGUUCCAUUCCUGGCCAAAGCA
rnacentral:tRNA from 1 species